rnacentral:rRNA from 1 species
UGGGGAAUAUUGCGCAAUGGGGGAAACCCUGACGCAGCAACGCCGCGUGAAGGAAGAAGGCCUUCGGGUUGUAAACUUUUGUCUUUAGGGAAGAGAAGUAGACGGUACCUAAGGAGGAAGCCACGGCUAACUACGUGCCAGCAGCCGCGGUAAUACGUAGGUGGCAAGCGUUAUCCGGAUUUACUGGGUGUAAAGGGAGCGUAGGCGGGACUUUAAGUCAGAUGUGAAAUACCAAGGCUCAACCUUGGGGCUGCAUUUGAAACUGGAGUUCUUGAGUGUCGGAGAGGUAAGUGGAAUUCCCAGUGUAGCGGUGAAAUGCGUAGAUAUUGGGAGGAACAUCGGUGGCGAAGGCGACUUACUGGACGAUAACUGACGCUGAGGCUCGAAAGUGUGGGGAGCAAACA